ACUAGAUCGGCAUCGAACUAGUAUUAAAGGAGCGAAUGCUCCGCUACUGGAUGGACUCGCGGUGCAUUAGCUAGUUGGUGAGGUAGAGGCUCACCAAGGCGAUGAUGCAUAGCCGACCUGAGAGGGUGAACGGCCACAUUGGGACUGAGACACGGCCCAGACUCCUACGGGAGGCAGCAGUUAGGGGAAUUUUCGUCAAUGGGGGAAACCCUGAACGAGCAAUGCCGCGUGAGUGAAGAAGGGAUUUCGGUCU
rnacentral:rRNA from 1 species